CUACGGGUGGCAGCAGUGAGGAAUAUUGGUCAAUGGGCGCGAGCCUGAACCAGCCAUCCCGCGUGCAGGAUGACGGCCCUAUGGGUUGUAAACUGCUUUUCUAUGCCAAGAAACCUGAUUACGUGUAAUCAGUUGCCGGUAGCAUAGGAAUAAGCAUCGGCUAACUCCGUGCCAGCAGCCGCGGUAAUACGGAGGAUGCAAGCGUUAUCCGGAUUCAUUGGUUUAAAGGGUGCGCAGGUGGGCUUGUAAGUCAGUGGUGAAAUGCUGCCGCUUAACGGUAGAACUGCCAUUGAUACUGCGAGUCUUGAGUAUGGUUGAGGUAGGCGGAAUGUGUUGUGUAGCGGUGAAAUGCAUAGAUAUGACACAGAACGCCAAUUGCGAAGGCAGCUUACUAAGCCAUUACUGACGCUGAGGCACGAAAGCGUGGGGAGCGAACAGGAUUAGAUACCCCUGUAGUC
rnacentral:rRNA from 1 species